CCUAUUUACUCUCUAAAUUUUGCCCUCAUUCUGCUCACUUCGCCGUCAAUUCGUUCCUAUCCAUUGCUGCACUUUCCCUUCUCUUCCACCAUCACCGGCCACCGUCUUAAGGUAAUCCUAACUCAUCUCUCUCUAUCUCCACAUUAAUUUUUAUAUCUAUAUCUUUUUGUACCACCAUGGUGAUUCUGGUUUCACCAACUUUUGUUGUUUUUGUUACUCCUAUAUUUUUUUUUUUUGCACCAACUAUCAAUCUUAUCCGAAUAUUCCUAAAUAAUUCAUUCAAUUAUUUAUUUUUUUAUAUGUUUUCUUUUCAUUCCGUUUCUUUCUAAUUACUUUUGUUGUUGAAUAUUUGAUGUUUAGAAUGAUAAGCUCUGCCGUUGGGACUUACGCGGUGUGUGUUCUAGGUUUAGAUGCAUGUGUUUUGAUAUAUAUUGUUGUGGUUGUUUCGUUACAGAUUGGCGUUGUUCAAGCUAUUGUUCGUGAGGCCUAUUUCAAUUUUCACUCCUUCUGAAAGUAACCUAAUAGUUAAUCAAAUUUUCCUCUUUUCUCUUUAGUUGCUUUUGGUGUUAUUAAUGAAUUUAUAGACGUUGAAUAGUUCCAUAAGGUCAGUUCAGUUUAAUUGUCUGAAUUUGUUAAAUUUAUUGUUACAUUUCAGUUAGACCAAUUUUUCUCGCCAACCUUGUCUAUAGGCCUAGAGAGAUGUUUUGAGACACCAUUUAGCCUUGGAUUUUUGACAUCAAAUUUAUAAAAAUUUUGAAAGGUUUAGUUUGUUGUUAUUAAAGAGAAUUGUUAUGCCUUUUUAUAAUUGGAUGCCCCUAUAAUGCUGUUAAAAUUGGUAUAGAUGUUGUGAGUUAUAUAUAUUGUGUAAGAAUUUGGUAACAUCAGAAUGCAUAAAAAUUCUUUAUCACAUCUGAUUUUACUCGUUGUAGUUAAUGAUUUUAUAUUUGAUUAGCUUCUCCUUGGUUGAAGAAAGCAAAUUUGCUUAUCCACUCGUGAGAUUCCUUGUGUAUUAUACUAGUAACUAUUGUUAAAGAAUUAUUGUAACCUCAGAGUGUAUGAAAAAUUCUUGAUCAGAUCUUCUUUUUACCAUUUAAAAUCAAUGAUAGUAGAUUUUACUUUUCUCCUCAUCUGUUAGACGAAAGCAAAUUAGCUUAUCCAUUUCGCGAGGCCUUUCUGAGUACUACAAUAGUUAUACUCUAAAAAUAAACUCUUAACAAAUUAGCUUAUCUUUGUUGAGAUACUCUAUGGACUAGAGUAGUUAAAUUGUUAAGGAUCUUUGUCGACUAUAGUUAUGAUAUUGUAAAAGUAUUGCUUUGUUUUAUCCCUUCCUCAUAUGUUUUAUGUCACACCAAGAUGAAUGCUAACAUUCCUAACACUAAUAAGUGGUAAUGUUUCCAUGACUUACCUUACUAAUUUAAUUUUUGCUUUUAAAUGAGUUGCAGAACAGAAUAAGACAAGUUGCCAUCCUUUUGGGAUUCUAACACUUUUUCUUCCUUAUGUUUCAGUUUAAAUUGAAAGAAAUGGAGAUGUCUUGCCAUGUGAUAGUUGAAUAGGUUAACUUAUUGCUAUAGUAUCAGUUGUGGAAAAGAUAGAUUCAUAUUUGCAAAGGAUGUCUGAUCAAUUAGUGACAAUGGAAUGCUUGACUUGUAAAAAGAUGGCUCUGUGAAUCGUCGUCGCUGUAUUUUUUAUACAAAUUAAAGGAAUUAAUUCAAAUUAGGAGUGAUCUUAGUGUAGUUGUAUGUUGACAUCUUUUAAAUUGUUCAAAGUUGUAAGGAGUACACUUAGUCGAUCAGUACUUUUGUUCUUUGGAUUCAGUACUGAAAGCAUUCACUUUACCUAUAAUUUAUCUUUGUUACAUUGUGUAUGA